AACAAACGCUGGCGGCGUGCCUAAUACAUGCAAGUCGAACGGGGUAGCAAUACCUAGUGGCGCACGGGUGAGGAACGCGUGGAUAAUCUGCCUUAGAGUGGGGGAUAACUAGUCGAAAGAUUAGCUAAUACCGCAUAAGACCACAGGAGCUGCGGCUCUAGGGGUCAAAGGUUUUUCGCUCUAAGAUGAGUCCGCGUAAGAUUAGCUAGUUGGUGAGGUAACGGCUCACCAAGGCGACGAUCUUUAACUGGUCUGAGAGGAUGAUCAGUCACACUGGAACUGAGCCACGGUCCAGACUCCUACGGGAGGCAGCAGUAGGGAAUAUUGCACAAGGGAGGAAACUCUGAUGCAGCGACGCCGCGUGAGUGAUGAAGGCCUUCGGGUCGUAAAGCUCUGUCGCAGGGGAAUAACACAAUGAAUGUACCCUGUAAGAAAGGAUCGGCUAACUUCGUGCCAGCCGCCGCAGUAAAAC
rnacentral:rRNA from 1 species